UGAUCUCAAACAAAUUCAUCAUCAAGCUAAAGCCACUUGAUCCCGCAACGAAGCAGCAAGUAUUAAUCACUUCCUCAAAACCCUGCAAAUCUGGCUCAGGUACGCAUUCUUUGACCUUCAAAUGUUAUAUAGCAAUUAGGUACUAGGUUCUGAAUGAUCCUGUUUUUUUUGUUUUCCUUUCUUUGGUUGUAUCCUAGUAAUGAUGACAGUAUUGAGUAUUCAAAAUCUCAAACGUCGCAUUUCAUGGGGAAUGUUUUCAUCUAGGAAACCUUCAUUGCCAAUUUGGUUCCUUUGCAGCUAUAAAUAACUAAGAGGAGUCCAUUUUUUAAUAGUCUAUCACUCUUAUAUUUGAGUCAAUCUUAACCAUCAAAGCUAUAAAUUAAUGGUUAAGAUUUUGCGGGAGGACUGCAGAGGAUCUAAAUUGGAAGUGAAAGUAGAAUAUACUACGAAGGAACACAUAAAUGAACUUGUAUAUAAGAUAUAUCUAUCCUCUUCUCCCAAUUAUGAUUACUCAUUGUGUUGAGUUGCUGAAGCACAAAUCUACCACAUUGUCCUAGAGACAAAGCAAAUAUCAGACACAGCUUAACGUGUUUUCAUGUUUUAAAAUCUACAAACCGUAACAAUGUGUUUGGACGACUCAUUUGAAAAAUCUAGGAAAUUUUUAAUUCAGGGAUUAAAGUACUUCAAUCACAUUCCCUUCAUUUAUAAAAUAUCUUGUUUGGAAUUAAAUUUCCUUAAUAAUAUCAUUAAUUCUUUCACUUCACUCUAAUAAUAAUUAAAUUCUGGAAUCUGACACACACAAAAAUCAAGUCCUACAAUUUUUUCUAUCUGCACCAACUCAAUUUAGAAACAAAAAAGAAAACGAAAAAAAUACAGUAUAUAUGGUAUUCUCUUGAGAAAAAAAUUGAAAUAGAUGUUGUUAGAGUUUUCAAGAAGGAGAAUGCUGAAUGUUACGAAUUAUGGCUUUACAAGGGGAACGAACUUUAUGAUAGGUUUCUUUAUUUUUCUCGCACUAACUAGCACCACUCUUUCAAGAAUUGCGGGAGGGUGGGAAACGUAGAAGAUUGGAAGUGUGGAUGUGCUAUUUCAAUAAGGUAUAAGCUAUGGUCAUGGAGUUUCACUUGGAGUAGAAAAAGAAGAAAUAAGAUGUGAUGGGGCCAUGAGGAAACGCUCAGAAAAUGAGGGAUUUCAUGAAUUCUACCUGUUUUGAUGGAAUUUAAUUUCAUUGAUUCUGGGCAACAAAAAACCCGCUAAAAUUACUUGAAUUUUUUUUUAUUAGUUAUUUAAACAUAGCAUUUUACAGCUGAAUCCUUCUGUAAAUUACAUUCCUCUGUAAAAAUGAUUCAUCCAUACGCAACAAUAUAAGGGAGAACUAUAAACCCAUAAUACAAACUUUGCCACCCAAACAGAGAAAAGAAUUGCCUUUCUAUAAAAAUUACCCUUGGACUAUAAGAAUCAUCUAAGAAAAUAGACAACCACUGAUGAUUCCCUUUUUCAAACUUGGUUGAAUCUCUUCAGCGAAUUGGGUGAUAUUGUGUGAUACCACGCUUGGGUGGAAGCUUCCUCAAAAUGAAAAGGACCAAAGAAGAAGGCAAUAUUUCCACCAACUGCAGUAAAAAUGAGAGAAAGGUAAGAGGAAUUGUGGGAAAGAGACAUUCAAUACCUCUUUUGAUGGCUUACCCUCCAAAAAGGUUUAAAUAUUUAACCUACCGAAAAGGUUUAUCUUAGUAAAUUAUUAACUAGUAAAAAAACAUUUACAAAAUCACGGUUCCAAAUAAAAAUCAGAACAUCAACUAGCCAUAUUUUAUGAGAAACAAUUUUCAUCAGUGGCUAAAACUUUUGUUCGAGAUUUGCUCACUAUGAAUUGUUGGAUUUCAAAGCAGGAUUUAAUCUGAUUUAACAAUUCUGGCCACAUGGGUUUCCAGUAAGAACAAUCUUACAAAUCAGGAUUAAGAGUAAUGUCAAUAACAGAAAGAAAAGUUUAGCCUUAAAUUUGGGUCAGUCAAAAUUUUAGGCAGUGAACAUCUCACUUUGAUCACUAAGCUAAAGCCUAAUAAGCACAAAAGUAAAUGACCUUACCAGGUAAUAUAUGAAGUUCAGAAUAGGAUGGUCCAAGACAUCAAGGUCCGCAUUUUUAUCAAAUGCAUUAAAGCACAUCUGAUAAAACAAAAUAUAAUCAAACUCGAAGUUUCAUUAUUCUGAAGUGGCGGGAAUGUAUAUCUCUAUCAAACCCUAUCUCCAGUCCCCAUGGGGAGAAAAUAUUUUCUCAGUUAAGUCUCAAUGCUGGUUUUCCGGUUUCUCUUUGUGGCUCAAGUCUGGUAGUAAUAUCUCUUACUACCAAUAGUAUUUCACAUUUUUAUCCAAAGCAGUAUUUCCUUCCUAUCUGAAUCAAAUUGAUGGGGAUUAUUCCUAUGCAGCCAUUAAGCCAUACCUUGAGCAGACUGCAGAGUUAGGUUUCCAGUAUUGCUUAUCUCUCCAUCGUCACUAACAUCCCUAUGUUACCUCACCAACGAUAUCUUAUGAAGCCCGCUUUGUAUUUGUCAUUUUAGAGUAGACUGUUGGUGGAAUCAAUUACACACAUCUAAUUUGAGAAGGAGAGUUACAACAAUAUCUUUGGAAUAAUGUUGGAGGAAUCAAUUACACAUCUAAUUCAGAAAGAAAUUUAUUAUACUAGAGAUCACAGGUAAUUCAAGUAGGGAGAUGGGGACUGUUGAGUGUUGACACAGGUAACAAAAGGGCAGCCCAGUGCAUUAAAGCUCCCAAAAUGUGCGGGGUCUGGGCACAAGAGGUUGUUGACACAGGUAGUUAGAAAUAAAAUGGGAGAUGAGAUGUUGGUGUGGAAAGUUAUGGAUUGAUUGUGAGGGGAAGUUAGGGGAGAGUCCAGUUCUCAUGAAUAUGUGCAAGAGGAGAUCUAGAGCAUCUGUUAACCCAUUGAUCAGACCCAGAGAUAGAGCUUUUCAUCAAUUAACAUUCUGCUUUCUUUCUAUAUUCUGAUCCUGUUAUAUGGGGUAUAAUCUUAACCAAAGAUGAUGGGUUAGGCCCAGUGAAUUAUCAAUGACAAGAAUAGGAAGUUAAAAUGAGGAUUAUCAAUGCCUGCAUUCAGAAGUUACACAUCGUCCAAAAUAGCAAUGCGUAAAGCUGGCCCAACGCCUAGGUAGGAAAACUAACUUCAAAGGAGGAGGUUCCUAAAGGAUUCUGUAUCAACUAACAAGUCUUUGAGAAGCCAUUGAAGGGGAUUCAGGAUAUAGUCUGACACCAGAUUACAGUAGAGCAAGAUGGGGCCAGGUUUUAGGAGUGAUAAGAAAUUUAGUCCAGUCUCCAGAUCAAGUGUGUUAGAAGCAGUUACAGUACUGUCACUGGAGGAAGUUUCAAAACAAAAAGAGGAAUACCAUGUGAAUUGCUGGGACAGGAACAACAGCUGAAAUUCAUCUUGAGGACAUGAUGAAACUUUACAAGGGAUGAGGCAGGUAUGAGAAAAGGUGAAUGGGUGAAAUAGGAGGGGUUUAUUGCAUCAGUUAUUCUGCAGUAUCUUUGUAUCUCAUUUCUGCAUCUCUGAUCUUGAAUCACAUUGACACAGAUGUCAUUUUCUUUCCAUAUUUGAUCCAGUUCUAUUACAAUCUUAGAAAUUGUUUCCUGAUAUAGUUAUAUUUUGCUAGUAGUUUCCUUUUAGGUGGUGAGGCUAUUGAAACUCUCAAUUGCCUAUUCCUAUUCCCCACUAACAACUCAUAAUUAUAAUUUUCAAAAUUUGUCAGAGUUAAAUUUCAAUGCAACAUUGUAUGUUUGUCUAUCAACGUUCUACAAUAUUAGUUAUUUAUUUUAACUUAUAUUUAUUUGUAUUACCUAAAUAGCCUUUUAUAUAUGUUUUUUGGGUUAGCUUGCUAAUCACAGUUGGAUUUUAACAUGUUAAUUUUCAUACUUUCUCUCUAUAGGAACAUGGCCUAGAAUCAUUAGAUGAACUUGUGAUUCUAAAUUUAGGUAAGCUAAUUAUUUUAAUACAUAUUUUAUACUACGAGUUAUGUUCUUUUGCAUUGUACUUGGAUUUUUGUUCAGAGGAGGGAAUAGUUUUGGUGUAUCAAAAACAAGUAAAUUAAAAUGACUGACCAGAAUUGAAUGAUGAACAGUAAAUAUAAUUCAGACUAAACUGAAAAUAAAUUCUUCACUUGAGGACAAUUUAGGAAAUUAAAAUUCAGAAGUGGAGUGUGGAUAGGCAAUUGGUAGUACUAAUAGCCUCGCCCUUAAAUUAGUUCAAUACACAUUAUCAGGAUUGAGCUUGUAUCAGUAAUACUACACUUAGCCUCAUCAAACUACAUACCUCUUGCAGCUUCUUACGUCUACCUUUGGAUUCAACAGGAAAGCGUUGCAGCAUCAAGAAUAAUCUGUCAAAAAACUGAGUCAGGGAGUAGUGCAAAAUGCAGCAAAAUGAGAGGGUAUGACAAAUGGGCAAACAAGAUGCAAGUAUUCAGAAAACACCCAAGAUUUAGUUUAAAAUUUGAAUUUUAAUCAUAGUUAUCAAUAGCGCGCGAAAGCGGCGCUGUAGCGUAGCGGACCCCUGCCGCGACGGGAUCGCAGCCGCGAAAUCCCGCUAUUCACGGCCAAUAGCGGCCUUCCCUUGUAUGGGAUUUCAUUUUUGGGGGUCAUCCACGAUCCGCGAUUGACUACUAUGAUUUUAAUGGUGCUUGCUUAAGUCCUCAUAUGCUUUAAAAUAGAUGGAAUAUAUUCAUUCCAAAUUACAUCAAAGGGAGUUGAAAACAGAAACAGCCAAUACCUUCCGCCAUAGAGAAGAAAGCCAAGGGCUGCAAACAAAGAGAUUCCUAUUGCAAAAAGAAAUAUCAUAUGCAUUAGCAAAACUCAUGAAAGUCACAAUCAAUGAAAACAACAAAUGAAUUCUCCAGCCGACAAACCUGCGAAGAACAACUUAGACAGAAUGACAAGUGCACUGACCGGUUUCCACCAUAGUAUCAACCACAAAAUAAUCUGAAAUACAUUAAACAAAAUAACCAAGAUGGUCAUUCAACAAACUCAAAACUAGUGAGCAUGAAAGUAAGAGCCUUUCAAAACUUCCAACAAAUAUCAAAAGAACUGAUGACACAAAAAAAUAAAUAUAUGGAAUAUUAAAGGUCAAUAGUUAAACAUCAGUUUGAGGACAUAACUGAAAAGUAACAACACAGGUCGAUUUUUUUUUAUCGACCCGUUAAAUCUACAUAUUUGGCAAAGCCACCAUCAAUCACCAACAUAUGGUUGGUUGGUUCAAGUGGUACAUGCUUGGUUUCCCUUUAGCAAGGUCUCAGGUACAAGACAAGUCUUGUAUAUGAAAAAAAAAAACCUGCUGGGAGAGCUAGCCCCACUAGGAUGUGGAGGUUCCCAACUCAAACAGGACUGUCUCCCGUGGAGGAUACCCUGUUCUCAGACCAAAAAAGCCACCAUCAACCACAAGUGUGUACAAAUAACACACUCAUGUGCCACAAAACAGAUCCUGAAAGUGUUUAACAACCUCCAGGACCAGGGUCAUAAUUUCUGCAACUUCCAGUACCAGUUAGGUCCAACGCAAGUAAAGAGGACCAUGUCAUUGUGACAUGUUGGAAAAUAAGCAUCUCCUUGAUUCUCUACAAAAAAGAUAACACAAAAUCCUACAUGGGUUUCUCUCCUAAUUUGAGGAGGGUAGCUAUAUAAACAUAAAGACAUUUGUAAUUGUUCACCCUGACGGCAUCAAAUAUUUCUAGAGAAACUAACUACAGAGAUGCACCCUCGUCGAUGGAGAAUGCAGAGGAGGAGGGGGUGGAGUCGGUGGUGGCAGCGUCGCACCGUUGUUGAGAGGGUUGGGAAUCUCAGCCAUGAACGAGCAGAGAAAACUAGCUCUGAUACCAUACUAGAGAAACUAAUAACAGAAAGUGGAAGUUGUAACUGAAUGUAAACUCUGUUAUUCAACCCAACUAUCACUGUGUACAUUGAGUCCUUAUAUAGACUCAGAUUUGUAGCUUCUAGAAGAAGCUUUACAUACAGUAGCUUUACUAACUAACACUUAUAAAUACUAUUACAUAGUAUACUCUCAAUUAUGCAUCUCUCCUGCCAUUUUCCACAAUUCUCAAUUGACCUCCCUCUGCCAAUAAGAGAAUUUUCCAAGUAUUUAACAAUCCUAAUAAGUCAGAGGUUUUGAAAAACUUCAAAAAAACAAAAUAGCAACAAAAAAACCACAGCAUAGAGAGCUGAAAGAGGAGACAGGUGAAGCCAUGAGUGGGAGACUGGGAGUCACUUGUCAAAGGAAGGAGGGAUAUCAAAAGCUAAGAUAUCACCAAAGAUAAAGUGACAACAUGCUCUUAAUGAUGGUCCGUGGGUGUUUUUUUAAGUACAAUAAAAACAAAAAAUAUUGAAUCUACCUUCUUAGAAAAGGACUGUAUAUUACUCACUAAAAAAACAUAAACAUAUCCCACUUCAUAGUUAGUGAUCCCAGAACCCAAAAGGCCAAAACUGAUAUAGCAGGAUAGCACAUAUAUAUAUAAAUGUUCCCGAGUAAUUAUAUUAAAUAUUUUUACGUAUAUUAUAUAAAUUAUACCUCAUUUAUAAAUGUCCCAGAGUAAAACAAUUUUCAAAGAUAAACAAACACAUUCAUAAUUAACAAUAAAAAUAUGAGGGGUUUUAAGCUUACUACAUAGGUUCAUAAUAUCAAAGUGAGGAUUUAAAUGAGGUUAACACUUGACGGAAGAACGGUUUACGAAUAAAAAGACAGCAGAAGAUAAGGAUGGGAGUGGGCGACGUUUGUGGAGGGCAUUUCAAACUUUUUCCCCCACCCCCCCUUUUUGCUCUGUUCUGGGUUUUUCAUGUCUGAACUGCAGUUGUGGCGCAAUAGCACGUGAUUUCUGCUGCAAUAGUGGCUGCUGCAGCCACGACACAGUGAACUGCAACACGAUGGAGUCCCUUGUAGCAAUACAUGGCAGCGUGAUAGUGCCACUAUCCAACGUUAUUGAUAACUAUGCACACUUUAUUCCUUUCUAUUUGUACGACCAUAAUCUUGCAAUGAGAUUAUUUGAAUAUCUCGCAGAAGUUCCCUCCUGGUGAGUCACCUAACGUCACAUCUUCCAACAAUUGAUAACAUAUGCACAACCUUUGUAAACAAUAUGUAAUCUUCAGGUAGCUUUCACAAUUUAAUUCUAGAGCUUUUUAUCAUACAUGACAAGUAAUUAUGCAAUGAUUUUGCUUUUACGUAGAUAUAGAUAGUAGAAUUUACAAAUCAUCAUCUAGUUCAGCUCUUGAAACAGCCAUUUCACUAGGAUCUUUCCAUUAGUUAAUAUAUUUAAAUGAAAAUGAAUACAAGGAUAAAAGCACGGAAUUGUUGUUAUAAAGGCAAUUUAAUCUACAUUUGAUAGAAAUAAAUUUUUUAAAAUAAAAAAUAAUAAAUGUAAUAUUGACAGUAAGCGUUGUUCCAUGUUUUCCAGAAUCUUAUAACAUGGAAUGUUAGAAUCCUUAAAACAGAAAAUUACAAAGAAAUACGUCAUAUAUUAUUAUCCAUUUUUAUCCAAUGAAUCAGUUUUAAUUAACUUCUGAGCUAAACUUGCCAUAAAUCAUAAUAAUGAGAUUGGUCACUAAUUACAUAAUACUAUUUUCAACCAUGCAUUCACGGAACAGGUUAACUCUGGAGGUAAAGUGUCAAACCAAAUCAUAUGACUUCAGACAUUAAAUAAAUGCAGUUGCAUCCAAAAUAUACAGAAGUCUCCAAAAUUUUCACUGCCAUUCAAUUACAUUUGGGUUUCUAAAUUGCAGGUACAGACACAAAUAAUGGCUAAAGGCUCUUCAUAUCAUUGCAGUACUAAAAUUACUAGAUAUUCAAAUCUCCACCAAAUGAAAGAAAACUAGGUCAAAACUUGACACCCAACAGUUUCAGUCUCGCGUUCACCCUAACGGAAACACCACCCCUGCUAUCUCAAGUCUCCACCCUGCAUGAACUCUCCUUAAAACGUCCAGCCCCUCUCCGGCGACCACUGCACGCCUCUCUCUGGCCUCUCCACGCCCGCAUCAUCCCUUCUAUUCUAAUCUGUCAGGUAGGCUUACUUUUCCAUUGAUUUGCUUUUUUUUCUUUCUUUUCCUCUCUGGUUUCUCCUCUCUUCAUUCUAUUCUGUUAUCCUCCUAUAGUAAUGGCAUCCUCCUCAACCAACACCCCAACACGUAAACUCCUCAG
rnacentral:lncRNA from 1 species